rnacentral:rRNA from 1 species
CCUACGGGUGGCAGCAGUGAGGAAUAUUGGUCAAUGGGCGGAAGUCUGAACCAGCAAAGUCGCGUGAGGGAAUAAGGCUCUACGGGCCGUAAACCUCUUUUGCCGGGGAGCAAGGGAGGGGAAGUGUCUCGGCUCGGUGAGUACCCGGAGAAAUAGCAUCGGCAAACUCAGUGCCAGCAGCCGCGGUCAUAAGGAGGAUGCGAGCGUUAACUGGAUUUAUUGGGUGUAAAGGGGUCGUAGGCGGGCUUUUAAGUCAGCGGUAAAAAUUCGGGGCUCAACCCCGUCCGGCCUUUGAAACUGGUGACCUUGAGUGGACGAGAAGAAGGCGGAAUGCGAUGUGUAGCGGUGGAAUGCAUAGAUAUCACGCAGAACCCCGAUUGCGAAGGCAGCCUUCCGGCGCCCUACUGACGCUGAGGCACGAAAGUACGGGGAUCGAACAGGAUUAGAUACCCUGGUAGUC